ACGCCCCUCUCCAAGCCCCGCCCAGGGCUUGCGGGGACGUUUCCGUGGCGACUGUAAACAAAACUUGAGAGCUGUGGGAGCUCUGCUCCCCCAACCCACACUCCUGCAAAUAAGGUGAUUGAGAAUGACAGCGCAGAUGUUAUGAACUGAAACACGGAGAAAUGGGGGCCCAGGUGGGAGCCAGGCCCUGGGAGGGACAGCCUGGGGGUCCGGGACACGUGGGCUGUGGUGCGAGGGCCUGCCACCGUCAGAAGAGGCAGCAGCAACUGGAGAACCAGGGAUUGACAUCUACGGGAGCAGACGUGCAGGUGGAGCCGGAUGUUGCGUGGGUCCGGGCAGCAAAGCUGGGAUGAGACACCGAGAGCAAGAGGGCCUCGUUGGAGCAACACCUUGUGUAUUUUCCUAGAAAGGAGCAGGCAGUCUGCAUGGGAGGGGCUCUGCCAGGCUAGGAGUAUGAGCAGUGGACAGGAGAGACACCGUCUGGGCAUCCAAGUCCGACAAUCUAUUAUUGAACAAAAAAAUUGUUCGUGACAAGAGAACCAUAAGGUGGACUUUAUUUGGGACCACAGUGAUAGAUGUUGGGAACACCGCAAGGGGGUCUUGCACUGGGGGAAAGAUUGGACUCAACUCCAAACACAACGAGAAAGAGUGGAAACUUACAGCCAAGGAGCAAGCAGGGCCUGGGAGCCUUCUCUUUUCAAUGUCAAGAAGACAGUGCCCCGUCGUCACUGCGGGAAUCUGGCAGAGCCACCUCAACUACAUGCUCAUCAUGGGGGUACAAGAAUGUUCACUUUUCUUUCAGAGAGAGGCCAUUAGCUGGCGUGGUGGCCACCCCACUGACCAAGUGAAUGCAGAGGGAACUUGGAAAGCACGUAGAGUGGAGUUUCUUCCUUGCUCCAAGCAUGGUUUAAGGCAGAUCCAAGGAGUUGGAGGGAUCUUUGCUCCACGUGAUCGAGCAGAUGCUCUAACAAAAUACCACAGAAUGGGAAGCACGCAAACAACAUACUUAUUUCCCACAGUUCUGGAGGUUGGGAAAUUCAACAUCAUGAUGCGGGCAGAUUUGGUGUGCUGGCUGGCCAGAGCCCACUUCCUGGUUCCCUGAUGGCUGUGUCCUCACAUGGUGGGAGGGACUAGAGAGCUCUCUGGGACUCUUGUCUGAGGAAGGGCACUAAUCCCAUUCAUGAGGACUGCACCCUCAUGACCCAAAUGUCCCACCUCUUAAGACCAUCAUGUGGUGGAUUAGGAUGGGUGGAAGUG